rnacentral:rRNA from 1 species
AUUGAACGCUAGCGGGAUGCCUUACACAUGCAAGUCGAACGGAGUGGCGAACGGGUGAGUAAUGUAUCGGAACGUGCCCAGUAGCGGGGGAUAACUACGCGAAAGCGUAGCUAAUACCGCAUACUUUUGGAGCGGCUGAUAUCGGAUGAGCUAGUUGGGUGGGUAACGGCUCACCAAGGCUAAGAUCCGUAGCUGGUAUGAGAGGACGACCAGGCACACGGGGACUGAGACACGGCCCAGACUCCUACGGGAGGCAGCAGGGGGGAAUUUUGGCAAAUGGGGGAAACCCUAAUCCAGCCAGCCCGCUUGUGCGAGGAGGGCCUUCGGGUUGUAAAGCACUGUUGUCAGGAAAGCGGUACCUGCAGAAUAAGCCCCGGCUAACUACGUGCCAGCCGCCGAGGUAAUUC